UGCGUGGGGCGGCCGGGUCGCGAGGGGUCUCUUUGCGGUGCCGGGGCCCCUCUGCGGCCCGGCGUGGGAAGCCCGUGGCCGGCGGAGCCUGCUCGGAGCUGGGCGGGGAGCGCCGCGGCGGUCCGGCCGCAGGCAGCCAUCCCCUGCGGUGGCCGGCAUCCCCUCGGGACUCCUGGAGGCCUGGCGGCUCCCGAUCCUCGUCUGCGGCAGCCGCCUGAGAGAGCAGCGCGGCCGUAGCCGGGGGCCGGAGAGCGCUGGUGGGUGCAGAUGGAUGAGUCGUGCAGGGCAACGGAGGAGAGCCCAGGGGAGCGCUGUAAGAAGGUGACAGCCCUGCGAUGCUGCGGUGCCUGCGAGGUGAUGCCGCCGUGCUCGUUGCUGCUUCCUGGUAAGGAAAGGCCUCCUCCGCUCCUGCUGCAGCGUGGUGGUGUGUCGGACACGAUUCCCUGUGUCGGGUGAGGCCUAGGGCUGCCGGCGAGGUGAGCGAGCCCCUUUGGUGGGUGCCGGGGUGUCUCCUUGUGUGCCUGCACUACUGGGGCUGGUGGGAUGGGAAGCUUCAAA